UACCUAGCCAACUAGUCUGGUUGUCUGAAAUGUGCUUGUGUAGAAAUUUAGGACAAGCUAGCAAUAGUGAUACUAUUUUAUGAACAUUACACACAACUGGUCAUUAAGGUUGCUGAAAAAGGCUACAAUA
rnacentral:snoRNA from 1 species